GAUGAACGCUGGCGGCGUGCCUAAUACAUGCAAGUCGAGCGAACAGAUGAGGACUUUGCUCCUCUGACGUUAGCGGCGGACGGGUGAGUAACACGUGUAUAACCUACCUAUAAGACUGGGAUAACUUCGGAACACCGGAGCUAAUACCGGAUAAUAUAUUGAACCGCAUGGUUCAAUAGUGAAAGACGGUUUUGCUAUUACUUAUAGAUGGUUCCGCGCCGCAUUAACUAGUUGGUAAGGUAACGGCUUACCAAGGCAACGAUUCGUAGCCGACCUGAGAGGUGGAUCGCCAACACUGGAACUGAGACACGGUCCAGACUCCUACGGGAGGCGGAAGAAGGGAAUCUUCCGAAAGGGGCGAAAGCCGAACGGAGCAACGCCGCGUGAGUGAGGAAGGUCUUCGGAUCGUAAAACUCUGUUAUUAGGGAAGAACAAAUGUGUAAGUAACUAUGCACGUCUUGACGGUACCUAAUCAGAAAGCCACGGCUAACUACGUG
rnacentral:rRNA from 1 species